rnacentral:rRNA from 1 species
AAACCGCAUACAGGUAAACGGGUGGACCCGCAAAGUCGGCCCGUGGAAUUCAGCUCGGAAGGCAGGCGCGGACGGUGAGGCAAGAGAUCUUUAGCGGACUCUCCUUUCGUUCGACGCCGGUCGGCCGUGUGCACUUUCCGCGGGCAGAGCGCCACGACCGGUUCUCGGGCGGUCAGAAGGCGGCGAGGAAGGUAGGUUUGGAGUUCGCUCGAAACUGUUAUAGCCUCGCCUGUCCCGAUCCGCUCGGGGACCGAGGAGCUGCCGCCGGUGUAGCGCCGCUUCGCUCUCCCGGGAUGUUCGACUGGCGGAGACUGGGCAACCGUGUCCGCCGACCGCUUUCUGGGAUGGACGAGGUGGGCCCGCCGGCACAGGGUCAGUGGCGAAUCGGUCGGUCCUCCACCCGACCCGUCUUGAA